GACGAACGCUGGCGGCGUGCUUAACACAUGCAAGUCGGACGGUGAUACGUUGAUAGCAAUAUUGAUGUAUUGCAGUGGCGGACGGGUGAGUAACGCGUGAGCGACCUGCCCAUAAGAGGGGGAUAACACUGGGAAACCGGUGCUAAUACCGCAUAAGACCACGGAACCGCAUGGUACUGAGGUAAAAGGGGAAACCUGUUUAUGGAGGGGCUCGCGUCCCAUUAGCUGGUUGGCGGGGUAACGGCCCACCAAGGCGAUGAUGGGUAGCCGACCUGAGAGGGUGAACGGCCACACUGGAACUGAGAUACGGUCCAGACUCCUACGGGAGGCAGCAGUGGGGAAUAUUGGGCAAUGGGCGAAAGCCUGACCCAGCAACGCCGCGUGAGGGAAGAAGGUUUUCGGAUUGUAAACCUCUGUCCUUGGGACGAAGAUCUGACGGUACCCGAGGACGGAAGCCCCGGCUAACUACGUGCCAGCAGCCGCGGUAAAAUACACGUGUA
rnacentral:rRNA from 1 species